GAAUAGGGGAGCCGGAGGGAAACCGAGUCUUAAUUGGGCGUUAAGUUGCAGGGUAUAGACCCGAAACCCGGUGAUCUAGCCAUGGGCAGGUUGAAGGUUGGGUAACACUAACUGGAGGACCGAACCGACUAAUGUUGAAAAAUUAGCGGAUGACCUGUGGCUGGGGGUGAAAGGCCAAUCAAACCGGGAGAUAGCUGGUUCUCCCCGAAAGCUAUUUAGGUAGCGCCUCGUGAAUUCAUCUCCGGGGGUAGAGCACUGUUUCGGCUAGGGGGCCAUCCCGGCUUACCAACCCGAUGCAAACUGCGAAUACCGGAGAAUGUUAUCACGGGAGACACACGGCGGGUGCUAACGUCCGUCGUGAAGAGGGAAACAACCCAGACCGCCAGCUAAGGUCCCAAAGUCAUGGUUAAGUGGGAAACGAUGUGGGAAGGCCCAGACAGCCAGGAUGUUGGCUUAGAAGCAGCCAUCAUUUAAAGAAAGCGUAAUAGCUCACUGGUCGAGUCGGCCUGCGCGGAAGAUGUAACGGGGCUAAACCAUGCACCGAAGCUGCGGCAGCGACACUGUGUGUUGUUGGGUAGGGGAGCGUUCUGUAAGCCUGUGAAGGUGUGUCGUGAGGCAUGCUGGAGGUAUCAGAAGUGCGAAUGCUGACAUAAGUAACGAUAAAGCGGGUGAAAAGCCCGCUCGCCGGAAGACCAAGGGUUCCUGUCCAACGUUAAUCGGGGCAGGGUGAGUCGACCCCUAAGGCGAGGCCGAAAGGCGUAGUCGAUGGGAAACGGGUUAAUAUUCCCGUACUUGGUGUUACUGCGAAGGGGGGACGGAGAAGGCUAUGUUGGCCGGGCGACGGUUGUCCCGGUUUAAGCGUGUAGGUGUGUGUUCCAGGUAAAUCCGGUUCACUUUAACACUGAGGCGUGACGACGAGGCACUACGGUGCUGAAGCAACAAAUGCCCUGCUUCCAGGAAAAGCCUCUAAGCAUCAGGUAACAUCAAAUCGUACCCCAAACCGACACAGGUGGUCAGGUAGAGAAUACCAAGGCGCUUGAGAGAACUCGGGUGAAGGAACUAGGCAAAAUGGUGCCGUAA
rnacentral:rRNA from 1 species